rnacentral:rRNA from 1 species
UACGUAGGGUGCGAGCGUUAAUCGGAAUUACUGGGCGUAAAGUGUGCGCAGGCGGCCAUGCAAGUCGAGUGUGAAAGCCCCGGGCUUAACUUGGGAAUUGCGCUCGAAACUACGUGGCUGGAGUGUGGCAGAGGAAGGUGGAAUUCCACGUGUAGCGGUGAAAUGCGUAGAGAUGUGGAGGAACACCAAUGGCGAAGGCAGCCUUCUGGGCCAACACUGACGCUCAUGCACGAAAGCGUGGGGAGCAAGAGGG